rnacentral:rRNA from 1 species
UACGGGGGAGCAAGCGUUGUUCGGAUUACUGGCGUAAGGCGCGUAGGCGCCAGCGCAAGUCAGUUGUGAAAUCUCCGGGCUUACUCGGAACGGUCAACUGAUACUGCGCGGCUAGAGUGCAGAAGGGGCAACUGGAAUCUCGGUGUAGCGGUGAAAAUGCGUAGAUAUCGAGAGGAACACCCUGCGGCGAAGGCGGGUUGCUGGGCUGACACUGACGCUGAUGCGCGAAAAGCCCAGGGGAGGCGAAAGCGGGGGAUUUAGAAAACCCCCGUGUAUCAAGACCCAAGUCGUCUGCUACCCGUAAUACACCGA